GCGAACAAAAAUGCUGGUUUGUAAAACCUUGGAAGAGGCUUUAAGGAAAAUCCAGGAGCUGGAAAUGCAAGAUAAUUUGUGCCUGACUCUAGUACGAACAAUUUUGGGAAGACGAUUUGGCCUAAAAAGACCUGUAGCAGUUAACAAGCUAUUAGAUGCACAAUAGCACAAAAUGACCACCACCACUAUCACCCUAAAGUGUGUGCUUGGUGUCUGUCUACACAUGCUUGCUUCUGGAAUGUUGAAGAACAAACUGUGUUGAAACGCCAACUGGAGUUGGUCAUGGACCUUUGCCGCCCUUCAUCCAGAGCCUUCCACAGAGAUGGCAGAUAUAUCACUGCCUGGACCAACAGUUGACCAUGCCGUUGAGUCCAUGAUAUCAGUAGCAGCCAUGAAAACAUCUACAGAAUUACAUCUGCCUAUUAAUGGAUACAUUCUGCACCACUUCCAUGUGCUGUCAGUUUGAAACGUCUCUACUCUGACAGAAGGAAGGAAAUGAAUACCCAGGAUUGUUCCUCAGGAAAAUCUCUUCAACAGGCUGUUGUCAGUUUGCAUGCUCUUUGGAUGGAAUUACCCUACCUUGGCUUGCAGAGAAUCUGUGAUAUAAAAGACCUUUUGUGCUGCAUUGUGUCAUUGAUUUAUUGACCUUAAAGAUAUUUUAUAUGUAUUAUGCCACUAUUGUAAAAACAAAUGGGCAUAUGUUUUAGCAUAUGUUUUGAAACAGACACAUUUAUAUUUCAAACAGACACAUUUAUAUUUUUGAAUAACUUGAAAAUACAUUUUGCAGGUUGACUUCACACCAUGAAACAUUAAUGGUAGGUUAUAUUUGACCAGAACAUGACAAGUAUUGUUUUCGGAGUUUUUUGGUCGAAGGUGAAGGUAAUGGCAAACAGUGGUUAUUCUGCACAAUGACCCUUGAAUUCUUUGACCUAGGACCAUUAAUAUUUAGUGAUUGAUAUAUCAGUCCAACUCAUAUGUGAAAGGGACAUGAUGAAAUUGAGCAAGAGCUUAUUAGCAUUGCAAAUUAUUAUUUGUGCAUUUUUAGCUCGACUAUUCGAAGAAUUGGUGGGCUAUACUAUCGUUAACAAUUCUGCGUUAAAGUUUGCAUUUUAUGUAAUAAAAUCAAGAGUUUUUAUCCAAUGGUAAUCAAACUUGGUCAGACUAUUUGUCGGCAUGUUAUCUUGAAGAUGUAUGAAUAUGGGUCAUCCCGGGUCAAAUUCUAGGUCACUAGGUCAUAUCUUAGGAAAAUCAUUCCACAUCAUAAAUUGAACAAUUUUUGUCAAAUCUUUAUGAAACUUGUUCAGAAUAUUUGUCUGCAUAAUAUCUUAAAAGUUCUAUAAUAUGGGUCAUCCCCGGUCAAAACCUAGGUCACAAGGUCAAAUCUUAGAAGAAAGAAUUCCACAGUCAUAAAAAUUCAUUAAUUUUAGUCAAAUCUUUUUUAAACUUGGUCAGAAUAUUUGUCUACAUGUUGUCUUAAUCAUUUGUCAAAUCUUAGGAAAUACUUUCCUGAUGUCAUAAAAAAAAAUCUAUGCUUACCAAAGCUAUCCAUAUCAGUUAAUAACUAAAUUCAAUUGUUAUUUUAUAAACACACAUCCCAAUCAUGAAUUUCAGAUCUAACCAUAUUUUUCAAAAAUUUAAAUUUUAAUUAACUUUAAAAAUAUUUGUGUACAUGAAAUCUUAGAUGAUAGUGUUUCAUCUAGGGUCAAAAACUAGGUCUCUGGGACAGAUCUUAUUGGAAAAGCUGAUGUAUUUAUAAAAUGUUCGUUUUUCCUCACACAAAUGGAAUAGUUUCUGUUGAUCAGGUUAUUUGUAUGAAUGAUAUCUCCGAUAAAUAUAAAUAUGGGUCUUUUUGGUUAAAAAUACUAGGUCAUUAGCUCAAAUCCUAGGUUUGCAAAAUUGCAUUGUCAAAUAAAAAAUCAAGCUUUAUGCGGCGUUGCCGCGUUGGCGUCUUGUUAUUUUUUUAUUUUGACAGGCACAUUUUUAUAAUCUUAACCAAAUCAAACCUUGUUUUGUCACGUUGUGAUUCUUAUUCACUUUUUUUAUUUGAUUGUUUUAUUGCUUUUUACAGGCACAUAUCACACUAUUAUUGUAUUUACGUCCAAUUCCAUGAGGCGUAGUAGAGCGCACUGUUUUACGACGGCUCUUGUUAACCUGUAAAGUGAAACCUGGUUAUAAAAAUGACAUGACUGUGUCAUUGUGAUGGCAGGCCAGGAGGAGGGCAGCAUCAAAUACAUCUACAAACUUAGUAUACAAAGUAUUAUAGAAUUGCUUUCGGGGCCCAUAGGAUCAAGGUCACUAAAACAAAAAAACUAUUGAAACUUUAUCGCACAACAAAGGCUUAAUUAAUUAGGUUUGUCUGUCAAUCAUAGAAAACUUUUUUUUUUUUUGCAUUGCAGCAUUUCAUGCUUAAUUUUUAUUUUGUCUCUUUAUUGCAUAUUACCUUUAUCAUUAUUGUAUUCAUUUCUAAGACAAAGCAGCUUAUAGUUGAGGACACUGCCCCAUGACAGCUCUUGUAUAUCCUAAAAAGAAUACAAUAGUGAUAUACCCUGAUAUAGGUAGUUUUGGUACAUAAUCACGGUUUUAAUUUUAGCUUUACUGGCCAAAGAUCAGAAUAUCUGAUGUGAUGGUAAUGUGUACGUAGUAUGUGCUUCCUAGCGCCUGUAAACAAUUGCUUGUGAACACCAUACAGUCUUAAGUUAUGAUUGUAUCUCAAUAAAACAGUAUUUAGAUAUCCAAUAGAGCUCGGUUCCUUUCGAAAACCAGUCAGAUCUGCCCAUGCAUGCCUAGAUUAUGGGCCUUGAAUGUCUGUGCGACUGUAAACAAUUGCUUGUGAACAUGGUACAGUCUUCAGUUUUAAUUGUAUAUAGAUGAAACUUGUACAGUAUUAAGAUAUCAAUUAGAGCUUGGUUCCUUUCGAAAACCAGAUCUGCCCAUGCAUGCCUAGAUUAUGGGCCUCAAAAGUAAAAAAAAAAUGCUAUUUUUAGCCAAGUCUGCAUGAGCAAAGUCUAAUUUUAGACAAGUUUACAUGUAAAGUCACAAAUUCAUGUGAAAAAUUGUUCAAAUUAGGCCCCUGGGGUCAUUAUUGGCCAUGCCACUGGGUUCACCGGUUUGGUAUACUAAACUGGGAAAUGUUUGAAAAUCUUUAUGUCUAAAACAACUAUGCAGACCCUUGUUAUUUUGAAUAAGGAUUAUUUAAGUGGUCUGCUACCAUGGUUGUUCAAAUUAUGCCCCUAGGGUCAAAACUGGCACUGCCCCCAGGGGUCACAAGUUUUUAAGAAAUGUUUUCAAAAUCUUCUUGUUUCAAACCACAAGGCUCAUAUCUUUGAUAUUUGUUGUGGAGCAUUAUAUGUAGACCGUCUAGCAAAACAGUUGAAAUUAUGUGCCCUGGGCCGGGGCCACCAUCCAUUUUGUCCUUUUAAAGCUACAAAAAUGAAAUUUUGACCAAUAGUACAGUUUUGUAGCAAAUUUUAUUCUCCUCAGAUGACCUUUACUUGGCACAUAUUAGAAUACUAGUAGUUCAUGCAACUAAUCUGCUUACAACACUUUCUGUUCUCAGAUGUUAAAUGUGCAACGUUUUAAGCUAAUCCAAACACAAAACGUGAACAAUAUGUUUGUUGGCUAUUACUCAUACAUACAUGCUCUGGAUCAAAAAUAACCACAUGAGCCAUGACACUAGAGCAUAGGCACUCAUGGGCCUCUUGUUUUUUUUAGAAAAAAAGCAUACUGACCAACCCUAUUUAUUUUAGAGAAGUUAGCUGAAACUAAGAACUUUUUUUACCUUACUUUUAUAUUAGAUUGUGUAUUGCUAAGAUUUUUGCUUAAAGCUCCAUUUAAGGUAACUGUUCAUCUCAAAUGUAAUAGCUUUUGUCUUCAAACUUAAAAGUUCAUUGAACCAGUGGGUUCAUCAUGAUGCACAUCUGUAAAUGUUUCUCCCUAAUAUGAGCUUUUAUGUAUGCAAACAGAACAUUGAACAAUUGGCUUUCCGUGUAAAGUAAACCCUGUCCAGAACAUUUGUCAAAUUGCUGUGUCAGCACUUGUUUGAAUGGAUUUAUUUUAUUUUCAUAUUAUGAUUUCAAAUAAAGUAUUUAAAAAUGUUGA